AUUGAACGCUGGCGGCAUGCUUUACACAUGCAAGUCGAACGGCAGCGCGGGGGCAACCCUGGCGGCGAGUGGCGAACGGGUGAGUAAUGCAUCGGAACGUAUCCUGUAAUGGGGGAUAACGUAGCGAAAGUUACGCUAAUACCGCAUACGCUCGAGAGAGGAAAGUGGGGGAUCGCAAGACGUCACGUUAUAGGAGCGGCCGAUGUCCGAUUAGCUAGUUGGUGGGGUAAAGGCCUACCAAGGCGACGAUCGGUAGCUGGUCUGAGAGGAUGAUCAGCCACACUGGGACUGAGACACGGCCCAGACUCCUACGGGAGGCAGCAGUGGGGAAUUUUGGACAAUGGGCGAAAGCCUGAUCCAGCCAUGCCGCGUGCGGGAAGAAGGCCUUCGGGUUGUAAACCGCUUUAGUCCGGGACAACGGGGUGCGAGGAUAAUACCCUUGUGCUUUGAUGGUACUGGAAGAAUAAGCACCGGCUAACUACGUGCCAGCAGCCGCGGUAAUACGUAGGGUGCGAGCGUUAAUCGGAAUUACUGGGCGUAAAGCGUGCGCAGGCGGUCUUGUAAGACAGUCGUGAAAGCCCCGGGCUUAACCUGGGAACUGCGAUUGUGACUGCAAGGCUAGAGUGUGUCAGAGGGGGGUGGAAUUCCACGUGUAGCAGUGAAAUGCGUAGAGAUGUGGAGGAACACCGAUGGCGAAGGCAGCCCCCUGGGAUAACACUGACGCUCAUGCACGAAAGCGUGGGGAGC
rnacentral:rRNA from 1 species